UACGAAGGGGGCUAGCGUUGUUCGGAUUUACUGGGCGUAAAGCGCACGUAGGCGGAUAGUUAAGUGAGGGGUGAAAUCCCAGGGCUCAACCCUGGAACUGCCUUUCAUACUGGCUAUCUAGAGUCCGGAAGAGGUGAGUGGAACUCCUAGUGUAGAGGUGGAAUUCGUAGAUAUUAGGAAGAACACCAGUGGCGAAGGCGGCUCACUGGGCCGGUACUGACGCUGAGGUGCGAAAGCGUGGGGAGCAAACAGG
rnacentral:rRNA from 1 species